rnacentral:rRNA from 1 species
GCCACAGACCGGCAAGCGGCGGGGGGAGUACGGAGGGGGGGUGCGUCGACCGGAAUUACUGGGGGUAAAGAGCUCGUAGGCGGUUUGGCGCGUCGGCUGGGAAAUUCUGCAACUCAAUUGGAGGCGGGCAGGCGAUACGGGCAGACUUGAGUACUACAGGGGAGACUGGAAUUCCUGGUGUAGCGGUGAAAUGCGCAGAUAUCAGGAGGAACACCGGUGGCGAAGGCGGGUCUCUGGGUAGUAACUGACGCUGAGGAGCGAAAGCGUGGGUAGCGAACAGGAUUAGAUACCCCAGUAGUC